rnacentral:tRNA from 1 species
GGAGCUUUGGCCGAGUGGUUAAGGCGCUAGCUUUAGGAGGCUUCAAGCGCGUUCAAAGUCUAUGGCCGAGAAUUGCUUGAUAUAUAUCUUAAACCGCUAGUUCGAAAGAGCGUGGGUUCGAACCCCACAGGCUUCA